rnacentral:rRNA from 1 species
AGAGGCUUGCUUCUCGCUGACGAGCGGCGGACGGGUGAGUAAUGCGUAGGAAUCUACCCUUUUGUGGGGGAUAGCCCGGAGAAAUCCGGAUUAAUACCGCAUAAGCUCUUCGGAGGAAAGUGGGGGAUCUUCGGACCUCACGCUGAAGGAUGAGCCUACGUUGGAUUAGCUUGUUGGUGGGGUAAAGGCCUACCAAGGCGACGAUCCAUAGCUGGUCUGAGAGGAUGAUCAGCCACACCGGGACUGAGACACGGCCCGGACUCCUACGGGAGGCAGCAGUGGGGAAUAUUGGACAAUGGGCGCAAGCCUGAUCCAGCCAUGCCGCGUGUGUGAAGAAGGCUCUAGGGUUGUAAAGCACUUUAAGCAGGGAAGAAACGCUGUUGGUUAAUAACCAUCAGUACUGACGGUACCUGCAGAAUAAGCACCGGCUAACUCCGUGCCAGCAGCCGCGGUAAUACGGAGGGUGCAAGCGUUAAUCGGAUUUACUGGGCGUAAAGCGUGCGUAGGCGGCUACGUAAGUCAGUUGUGAAAGCCCCGGGCUUAACCUGGGAACUGCAAUUGAUACUGCGUGGCUAGAAUUCGGUAGAGGAAGGUGGAACUCCAGGUGUAGCGGUGAAAUGCGUAGAUAUCUGGAAGAACAUCAAUGGCGA